CCCUUAGAUGUCCUGGGCUGCACGCGCGCUACACUGAUGUGUCCAGUAAGCACCUAACCUCUUCCGAAAGGAACGGGUAACCUUUGCAAAGCACAUCGUGAUGGGGAUAGAUUAUUGCAAUUAUUAGUCUUGAACGAGGAAUUCCUAGUAAGCACAAGUCAUCAGCUUGUGUUGAUUACGUCACUGCCCUUUGUACACACCGCCCGUCGCUCCUACCGAUUGAAUGUUCCGGUGAGCUCUUCGGACUGCGCGGUCUGCAGUUUCUGCGUUCCGUGCGGAAAGUUGCGCAAACCUUAACAUUUAGAGGAAGGAGAAGUCGUAACA
rnacentral:rRNA from 1 species